AGGAAUGCCUGACUCACAAUAAAAGGGACUUCUUUUCCCUUCCUGCCUCUCUUGCUCUCUUGCUCUUGUCUUCCUGCUCCUGCAUCUCUAAAUUUCUUCUCUCUCUCUCUCUCUCUCUCUCUCUCUCUCUCUCUCUCUCUCUCUCUCUCUCUCUCUCUCUCUCUCCUUACCCUUACAACUCCUCUCCCCAUACCCUAAAUAAACUCUAUACUAUCCUGUGGUGUGGCUGGCCCCACAGGGGAAAUCUAAAUGAAAUAAAAUGAGGGGGAGACAGAGCCCCAAAAGGAAAUCUUCCAUCUUAAAAAGAAACCUUCCACUACUGACAGCGGGUUAUGUCUAAUCAAGUUUUUGACGAAAGGGGUUCCAUGGGACUCCCUACCCAAUCCAGACCAUUGCCAAGGAUGUUGGUUGCCCUCCACACACCAAUGGUAAGGCCCCGAUGCUGAAGAAACACCUACACAACUCACUGUGGUGGAGUUGGUGCCACUUAGAGCCCUCCCACUGACGAGCAUGUAUGGUACUGGAAGGUAUGUUGCACAUUAUCAACGGAGGAAGGUAAACACCAAACCAGCUACAAACUCUUCCCAUCUGCAUUGGGAAACUGCCUACACGAUGUGCUAUUGCAAUAGCAUCACAACUUUUGUGAGAAUAGCCAGCCAAUGUCUGAUUGGAUUCAAAUCCUACUCCAUGAGACUAAACCCCAUCCAUACAAGGCACUGCCUGGGUGGUCAAGAAACCGAGAUGAGACAGCCCAGGGUUCCAGGGGAAAACCCAAUACUACUUAUCUGCUAAGGGAAUGUCCACUUAGAGUGACUUAUGACAUUCUGCUAUACUUGUAAAUCAGUGCUUUGCUCAUCCAUCAUCAGAGAACUUUCCUCCUGCAGCAGAUGAGAACAAAGACAGAGACCAACACCCAGACAAUGUGCAGAGUGAGAGCCUUGGAACCAUCAGUCCUAAAGGUGAUGCUCAUCAAAUCCCUUCCCCCCAGGGUUCAGGGAAUUCUGCAGAAGACGUGGCAGAAAGGGCAUAAGAGCCAGAGGCAACGGAAGGCACCAAGGAAACAAGGCUUUCUAAAAACAUCAGGAUUGGUGGGUGAAUGGACUCACAGAAACUAGCGCAGCAUGCGAAGAUCCUUCACACGUCUGCACUACAUGGGGUCUCAAUGCCGGGCAGACAAGUGGACACAAGCCCCUUUCCUACCCAGAACUUAUCUCUAAUUGAUAAUCACUUGCAAAUGGAAAAUUAGUUUUUUUCUAAUGGAAUGUCAUAGGGACGAGAACUACUUUUAAGAUGCCUGUUGGUUUCCUAAGGAGAUACAGAAAAGUGUGGAUCUGAAGAGGAGAAGAAGAGUUGAAGUUAUGGGAGGGGAAACCAUAUCAGAAUAUAUUGUAUAAAAUAUAUUUCAAUAAAAGAAAAAUAGGAAAAGAAAAGAAAUGUAGACAAACCCCCUACACUUAAUAGCAAUCUUUCAGAUGCAAUUUCAGAGCCAGCAUGAUUUACAUGAUUACUGUUCAGUGGUUAACUAACACUCUUCUCUGAGAAUUCUAUUUUCAACAACAAAGAAGUUACUUUACAUACCAAACUUAUACUAAACAGGGGAUGACACAUCUCCAAUAUCUGAAAUUAGCCAUAGCCAAUAAGACACCGGUGGAACUAAUGUAAAAGAAUGAGUGUGUCAGUGGUUAAGUUUCUGUCACUGAAGGAGCCUAUUCAGUUAUCAGUAAAAUGACUUCAGAUCAUAAAAACACUCUUACUCAACAAUCCAGGAAGCACUUGCUUGGAGCCCAGUUUUUCUACUCUUCUUCGUCCCCAUGACCCUGAAGCCAUUCCAAAUCCCCCCCCCCAUUUUUUAUUAAUAGCAGGUCAUUGGCAUCCUCACUUUAUAUGACUCAAUAACGACUCUCUUCUGCUCUUCCACUCCACAUGAACUCUAAAACCCCUUUCCAUUUAAUCCUUAGCCUCUGUUUUCCCUUGACACAUUUACAACCUCAUGAUAGUAUUUUAUUCUUUCCUUCUCAGUGUCUUGAUUUUAAAAUAAGCUGAGCUUAAUCCUUCAUGUUAUUGAUCAGCAAAGAAAACAUCCUCCAAGGAAGUUAAAUAGAUUUUCCAGGGACCAAAAUAUUACCUGUUUUAUGUGUCUUCCAAUUUUAAAAUGAUGCAAUACUCCAAUCUCAUUUCAUGUUACCCCAAACCUUCACUCGAUGUGUUUGUCUGCUUUCUAAAGCUGUGUCAAAUAUCUGGAAAAUAAAGUUUGCUUUGACUCUCA